UUUUUUUUUUAAUUUUUUGUAAUGUGUUAUUGGGAGUCCCCCCACCCCACCCCAAAUGCAUUCAAUGAGGUCCUUCUCAUUCACCCUGCAGCUCACAGUGCCACCCUUCCAGCAUGUCUUCCCCAUGGCUAACAGAUUAAAUCAAGAAAUCACCACCGCCACGCACGGCUGUAUAUUACUGAAGCGGGUCUGCCUCCGGGGUGGGGUGCGAUUGUUAUUACACCAUUCUACAGAUGCGAACUCUUGGACUUCAGGGGGAACCGGCACCAGGUCACAGAGUAUUCAGCUGAAAAUCAAUCACGGGUCCUCUGAUUACAAAUGCCACACAUGCUCUUUCCGGCAACCCAGGUUCUGUCCCAGAAGCCGCCACACCCGGUUCCCAAGUCCUGGCGACUCUGCUGACCAAUCCCCUGGCAGCAGGCUUGCAAUUCUUUUCAAGGGAGUGUCCUAGACAGCAGCUUGCAAUGUGACAGGAGGCUGGCAGCGAUAUGAAACCCGACUGGCAAGCCCAGCAGAAGCAAUCCCAGCUUCCCUGGACAGACUUGGGUCGGGCUGACCUUCAGCCUCAGGCCGAGGCACCACUCCACCCUCAGAAUAAUGAGAACGAUGCCUGGACAGUGGACCGAAGGCCAAGGACGGUCCUCUAGCAGAGGCCAGAAAGAGGGCUGUCCAAAAAGCCACUGGGAGACUUGGGAGUGGGGAGGGCGUGAACGGGGAGAACAACUGUGUUCCCUUUUCUGGCUGAAAGAACACUGGCUCUCUGGAUAUAAAGAGAUAGGCCUCCCCUGGGGCCGAGUUUGGAAUGGCCUAUGGAGGCCUCAACUUUGUGCCAAAAGGAUCAAGUAUUAGAGGGCCAGAAAGCUGAAUGUGGAAGAGAGAAAACACGAAGUGCAAAACGGCUAAAUUAAUUUUUCAGUGCAGCCAAAUUGGUGUUCUUUGUGUGCCGAUAUAUUCCAUUUAUUAGGUCUGUUCCUCCUUAUUUGUUUUGGUUUUUUUUUUUUGUCUUUUUGCCAUUUCUUGGGCCACUCCCGCGGCAUAUGGAGCAGCCCUAGAAAAGGCAAAAAGACAAAAAAAAUAAUAAUAAUAAUAAUAAUAAUAACACUUUGAAAGACUGUUUAUAAAGUGAUUAGAUUUCUUACUUCCUCUUUAGCUUCAAUACAUAAAAGAAUACUUUAUUCCUACAGCUAUUCUCCAAAGACAGAAGUGAAACUAAUAAAACAGAAUGUCUUUACUGACGAAAGUUAAGAGGCAAUAACGGACUUAACCAUUAGAAUGUAAUUUUGUGUUCCACUCAACAGUGUGGCUACACUGAACUUUAGAGUGAAAUUUUUUUCCUACAAAGCAGCGACACAUAAUAUAAUACGAUAAGGUGUGUGAUGUAAACAUUCAUUACUGUGAAUCUAGGUAUUAGAACUUUCUUGAAAGGUGAUGUUAAUAUCUGACAUUUUACUUUUUUUUUUUUUUUUUUUUUUUUUAAGGGCCACACUUGCAGCGUAUGGAGGUUCCCAGGCUAAGGGAUCAGAGCUACAGCCGCCAGCCUACACCACAGCCAUGGCAACGCCAGAUCCUUAACCCACUGAGUGAAGCCAGGGAUUGAACCUGCAACCUCAUGGUUCCUAGCUGGAUUCGUUUCCACUGCACCAAGUUGGGAAGUCCUGACAUUUUACUUUUAGUUAAAAGGAAAGAGUCUUAGAUUUCUUAAAAAGCAAACAGCCUCUGAAGAUCAUUGUUCUUAAGCUAUCCUCGAAGUAAACUAAUGAAAAGAUUAUCCAGUAAAUUAUCAUCCCUAGUGUAAAUACAUAAAUAGCUAAGAUCCUACUCCUGUUUACAUACCUUAGAACAAAUAUUAUCUGAGAGACUUCCACUUAGUUUCUAAACAGCUAGUAAGGAAAAAACAAAAACUAGGCAAAGAAAUAUUCUCAGGUAAAUAAAAGAAUCAAAGAAAGCACCUAUUCAAAUUUAAACAUUUUCGUAAAAGCUCUGUGGUGUUUCUGCUAUUAAAGUGUGUUCCUUUGAGUCUAUACUUUGAGUCUUUAUCACCAAGCCUUCAGUUACUUGUUCUGUUCCAUACCUUUCGAAGGAAUAAAAAUGGUCAAAAGUUUUAACUACAAAGGCAAGAUUCUAAGAAAAGGCAAUUAGCAAAAAGAAAUGUAUGAAUCCACAAACCGCUGCCACCAAAAGUGUUAUCAGCAGACCUUCAGCUUCAGUGUCAUCCCAGCAAGUUACUAAGGCAGAACCAAGAGACCAGCUCCAGACCUAAUGAAUGAGACCAACUCCAGACUUAAUGCAUGAAAAGCAAAGGUCAACAAGACUGACAACUGACUUCUCAGCAGAAAAGCAGUAAUCAAAAGAGAAUGGAAGGACAGCUUCAAAGUGUUACACAAGACAGUAACUGUGAACCAAGGAUUGAGACAACUUUCAAGAAUGCAAGCCAGGAGCUCCCGUCGUGGCGCAGUGGUUAACGAAUCCGACUAGGAACCAUGAGGUUUCGGGUUCCAUCCCUGCCCUUGCUCAGUGGGUUAA
rnacentral:lncRNA from 1 species